UCGCAUGAAGCAGUGUGAAAAACUUCCGGGUGGUAUGAGAAUGACCCGCGUUCUAAUUUAGCUAGUUGGUGAGGUAACGGCCUACCAAGGCGACGAUUGGUAGCCGGACUGAGAGGUUGAACGGCCACAUUGGGACUGAGACACGGCCCAGACUCNUACGNGAGGCAGCAGUGGGGGAUAUUGCACAAUGGGGGAAACCCUGAUGCAGCGACGCCGCGUGGAGGAAGAAGGUUUUCGGAUUGUACACUCCUGUCGUUAGGGACGAUAAUGACGGUACCUAACAAGAAAGCACCGGCUAACUACGUGCCAGCAGCCGCGGUAAAACGUAGGGUGCAAGCGUUGUCCGGAAUUACUGGGUGUAAAGGGAGCGCAGGCGGACCGGCAAGUUGGAAGUGAAAACCAUGGGCUCAACCCAUGAAUUGCUUUCAAAACUGCUGGCCUUGAGUAGUGCAGAGGUAGGUGGAAUUCCCGGUGUAGCGGUGGAAUGCGUAGAUAUCGGGAGGAACACCAGUGGCGAAGGCGACCUACUGGGCACCAACUGACGCUGAGGCUCGAAAGCAUGGGUAGCAAACAGGAUUAGAUACCCUGGUAGUCCAUGCCGUAAACGAUGAUUACUAGGUGUUGGAGGAUUGACCCCUUCAGUGCCGCAGUUAACACAAUAA
rnacentral:rRNA from 1 species